AGAACGACAUGCCUUCUGAAGGCCUCAAACAGCAUCUUCUCUGAUCCGUGUUUUGGCACCUACAAGUACCUCGACAUCUCCUACAGCUGUGUUCCUCCAAGUAAAGAACCGGAGCAUCCCAUCACCACAAUCUUACACUACACUCCAAACACGUUCAGUCUCAUUUUAAUUUGAACAAUUUUAUAAGACGAUAAAUUCUUCUAGGCAAAAUCUACUUUUGUUUCUUUCCAACAGAGUCCGGCCAGACAUGUGAAGGGCAACAAAGAAAACUGGAAUGUGGUUCCAAUGUAAUCCGUAUCCACACUGCCAGUUACGGGCGAACAGAUAAAACCACCUGCUCUGCUGGACGCCCUGCGAAUCAACUCAGCAGGACCGACUGCUCUGCAUCUACAACGCUCCCUAUAGUAAGGGAGAGAUGUGAAGGAAGGACGACAUGCCUUCUGAAGGCCUUAAACAGCAUCUUCUCUGAUCCGUGUGGUGGCAUCUACAAGUACCUCAACAUCUCCUACAGCUGUGUUCCUCCAAACAGUAAGGAACCGGAGCAUCCCAUCACCACAAGCUUGCACUAUAAUUGCAACAUGUUGAUUGUAACACAGAUGAUGAAUGUGGUUUUUAAGAUGUUACCCAGAGUUAACAUCCACUGCCCUUUCUUUCAAACAGAGUCCAGCCAAA